CAACAGUAUAAAAGACGUUACAGGCAGUUCGCAAAGAGUAAAAGUUAUCUUAACAUUCAAGCAAGGGUCCAAUAUUACGAAGAUGAAGAAUAUCCGGUUCCUCGCCGUUCUCAUUCUCGUUGUUAUUUCCAUCCAUGAAGGUAACUCAGCAGGAAAUGCUACUGUUCCUGGAAAUAAUCCGCCAAAUAAUCCGGCCAACCUUCGUACCGGUGGGAAUGCUGCUAACAAUAAUACUAGAUCCGGAGCUGUUGCGAUAACCGGAAGUGUGGCUUUCAUGUUGUGUACUCUUGGUGUUCUGGGACUAUCUAAAAUUAAACUGUAAAAAUAUACGGAUUUUCUUAAAAUAAAUUGAGGAAUGAGAAAAUUAUGUUUUAAGGACGUUUGAAUUUAUCCAACUUAAAUUGAGAAAAAUUGUCUAUCUCUUAUGUGAACCAAGUGUUUUCUUAAUUUGUAUCAUAAAUUUUACGACAUUAGUACAAACUAUUGAAUUGCAAAUCUUUCCAAUGAUGUAUAUAAACGUACUUGUUGAUAAAUACUGAUGUUGAUAUUGAGUUUUGAUUUACCAGAAUUAUACUGGAUUAGAUCGCAAUGUGUUUCGUUACAUAAAUUAAAAAUUUAAUACAAUUUUUGAUGACAUUAAAUCGGUUACAUGAC